rnacentral:rRNA from 1 species
GACGAACGCUGGCGGCGUGCCUAAUACAUGCAAGUCGAACGAGAGCGACCGGUGCUUGCACUGGUCAAUCUAGUGGCGAACGGGUGAGUAACACGUGGGUAACCUGCCCAUCAGAGGGGGAUAACAUCCGGAAACGGAUGCUAAAACCGCAUAGGUCUUCGAACCGCAUGGUUUGAAGAGGAAAAGAGGCGCAAGCUUCUGCUGAUGGAUGGACCCGCGGUGCAUUAGCUAGUUGGUGAGGUAACGGCUCACCAAGGCCGUGAUGCAUAGCCGACCUGAGAGGGUGAUCGGCCACAUUGGGACUGAGACACGGCCCAAACUCCUACGGGAGGCAGCAGUAGGGAAUCUUGCGCAAUGGACGCAAGUCUGACGGAGCAACGCCGCGUGAGUGAAGAAGGUUUUCGGAUCGUAAAACUCUGUUGUUAGAGAAGAACAAGUGCUAGAGUAACUGUUAGCGCCUUGACGGUAUCUAACCAGAAAGCCACGGCUAACUACGUG